CAGCCGCCACGGUAAAACGGAGGGGGCUAGCGUUGUUCGGAAUUACUGGGCGUAAAGCGUACGUAGGCGGCUUUGUAAGUUAGAGGUGAAAGCCUGGUGCUCAACACCAGAACUGCCUUUAAGACUGCAUCGCUUGAACGUCGGAGAGGUGAGUGGAAUUCCGAGUGUAGAGGUGAAAUUCGUAGAUAUUCGGAAGAACACCAGUGGCGAAGGCGGCUCACUGGACGACUGUUGACGCUGAGGUACGAAAGCGUGGGGAGCAAACAGGAUUAGAUACCCCCGUAGUCCCUGUCUCUUAUAA
rnacentral:rRNA from 1 species